rnacentral:rRNA from 1 species
UACGGGGGGGGUAAGCGUUGUUCGGAAUUACUGGGCGUAAAGGGCUCGUAGGCGGCCAACUAAGUCAGACGUGAAAUCCCUCAGCUUAACUGGGGAACUGCGUCUGAUACUGGAUGGCUUGAGUUCGGGAGAGGGAUGCGGAAUUCCAGGUGUAGCGGUGAAAUGCGUAGAUAUCUGGAGGAACACCGGUGGCGAAGGCGGCAUCCUGGACCGACACUGACGCUGAGGAGCGAAAGCCAGGGGAGCAAACGGG